GACGCACGCUGGCGGCGUGCUUAACACAUGCAAGUCGAACGAAGUGGCGAACGGGUGAGUAAUACGUGGGUAACCUGCCCUCCUUUUUGGGAUAAGCCUUGGAAACGGGGUCUAAUACCGAAUAAAGGGGGAUGGGCUCGCGGCCUAUCAGCUUGUUGGUGGGGUGAUGGCCUACCAAGGCGGUGACGGGUAGCCGGCCUGAGAGGGUGAGCGGACACAUUGGGACUGAGAUACAGGCCAGACGCCUACGGGAGGCAGUAGUGGGGGAUAUUGCACAAUGGGCGAAAGCCGGAUGCAGCGACGCCGCGUGGGGGAUGAAGGCUUUCGUGUUGUAAACCGCUUUCAGCCAGGACGCGGUAGUGGCAGAAGAAGCACCGGCUAACUACGUGCCAGCAGCCGCGGUAAUUC
rnacentral:rRNA from 1 species